CCAAUAGCGUAUAUUAAAGUUGUUGCAGUUAAAAAGCUCGUAGUUGAAUUUCGGGGUCAGUAGGUUGGUCGUGCCACCGGUACGUACUGGUCUCACUGAUUCCUCCUUCCUGAAGAACCGUAAUGCCAUUAAUUUGGUGUUGCGGGGAAACAGGACUGUUACUUUGAAAAAAUUAGAGUGUUUAAAGCAGGCUAACGCUUGAAUACAUUAGCAUGGAAUAAUGAAAUAGGACGAUCGAUCCUAUUUUGUUGGUUUCUAGGAUUGACGUAAUGAUUAAUAGUGAUAGUUGGGGGCAUUAGUAUUCAAUUGUCAGAGGUGAAAUUCUUGGAUUUAUUGAAGACUAACUACUGCGAAAGCAUUUGCCAAGGAUGUUUUCAUUAAUCAAGAACGAAAGUUAGGGGAUCGAAGACGAUCAGAUACCGUCGUAGUCUUAACCAUAAACUAUGCCGACUAGGGAUCGGAUGAUGUUAAUUUUAUAAUGACUCAUUCGGCGCCUUACG
rnacentral:rRNA from 1 species